rnacentral:rRNA from 1 species
GAUGAACGCUAGCGACAGGCUUAACACAUGCAAGUCGAGGGGCAUCACGGGAGUAGCAAUACAACUGGUGGCGACCGGCGCACGGGUGGGUAACGCGUAUGCAACCUACCUAUCAGAGGGGAAUAACCCGGCGAAAGUCGGACUAAUACCGCGUAAAACAGGGGCACCGCAUGGUGAUAUUUGUUAAAGAAAUUCGCUGAUAGAUGAGCAUGCGUCCCAUUAGUUAGUUGGUAAGGUAACGGCUUACCAAGACGAUGAUGGGUAGGGGUCCUGAGAGGGAGAUCCCCCACACUGGUACUGAGACACGGACCAGACUCCUACGGGAGGCAGCAGUGAGGAAUAUUGGUCAAUGGGCGCAAGCCUGAACCAGCCAUGCCGCGUGCAGGAUGAAGCAUCUAUGGUGUGUAAACUGCUUUUGUACGGGAAGAAAAAAAGCUACGUGUAGCUUACUGACGGUACCGUAAGAAUAAGGAUCGGCUAACUCCGUGCCAGCCGCCGCCGUAA